rnacentral:rRNA from 1 species
CCUACGGGAGGCAGCAGUGAGGAAUAUUGGACAAUGGGCGCAAGCCUGAUCCAGCCAUGCCGCGUGCAGGAUGACGGUCCUAUGGAUUGUAAACUGCUUUUAUACGAGAAGAAACACCCCUACGUGUAGGGACUUGACGGUAUCGUAAGAAUAAGGAUCGGCUAACUCCGUGCCAGCAGCCGCGGUAAUACGGAGGAUCCAAGCGUUAUCCGGAAUCAUUGGGUUUAAAGGGUCCGUAGGCGGUUUAGUAAGUCAGUGGUGAAAUCUUCCCGCUCAACGGGGAAACGGCCAUUGAUACUGCUAGACUUGAAUUAUUAGGAAGUAACUAGAAUAUGUAGUGUAGCGGUGAAAUGCUUAGAGAUUACAUGGAAUACCAAUUGCGAAGGCAGGUUACUACUAAUGGAUUGACGCUGAUGGACGAAAGCGUGGGUAGCGAACAGGAUUUAGAUACCCUGGUAGUCACGCCGUAACCGAAUGGANACUANACUGUGGUGUGACACAUGUGUAGAGAAGAG